CACGCCGUAAACGAUGAUCACUCGCUGUAUGCGAUACACAGUAUGCGGCCAAGCGAAAGCAUUAAGUGAUCCACCUGGGGAGUACGAUCGCAAGGUUGAAACUCAAAGGAAUUGACGGGGGCCCGCACAAGCGGAGGAACAUGUGGUUUAAUUCGAUGAUACGCGAGGAACCUUACCUGGGCUUAAAUGGGGAACGACAGCGGCCGAAAGGUUGCCUUCUUCGGACGUUCUUCAAGGUGCUGCAUGGUUGUCGUCAGCUCGUGCCGUGAGGUGUCGGGUUAAGUCCCAUAACGAGCGCAACCCUUAUCGUUAGUUGCCAGCGGGUCAAGCCGGGGACUCUAGCGAGACUGCCACCGUAAGGUGU
rnacentral:rRNA from 1 species